rnacentral:tRNA from 1 species
GGAGGGGUUAUGGCUCAGUGGUAGAGCAUCUACUUUGUAUGCAGAAAGUUCAGUUCCUGACUUCUCCAGUUCCAGGUUCAGUUCCUGACUUCUCCA